rnacentral:ncRNA from 1 species
GGAUCUCAGAUUAAGUAAGACUACCCGCCGAAUUUAAGCAUAUAAUUAAGCGGAGGAAAAGAAACUAACAAGGAUUCCCCUAGUAACGGCGAGUGAAGCGGGAUGAGCUCACCAUGUGAAUCUGUGCAACCUUCGGGUGCACCGAAUUGUGGUCUGGAGAAGUGCUUUCGGCCG